AAAGAAGUUUAAAAGGACGGCGUAAAGCUGUCGCUAAAGGGAUGGACCUGCGAUGCAUUAGCUAGUUGGUAAGGUAACGGGCUUACCAAGGCGAUGAUGCAUAGCCCGAGUUGAGAGACUGAUCGGGCCACAUUGGGGACUGAGACACGGGCCCAAACUCCUACGGGAGGCAGCAGUAGGGAAUCUUCCACAAUGGACGAAAGUCUGAUGGAGCAAACGCCGCGUGAGUGAAGAAGGUUUCGGAUCGUAAAGCUCUGUUGUUGGUGAAGAAGGAUAGAGGUAGUAACUGGCCCUUUAUUUGACGGUAAUCAACCAGAAAGUCACGGGCUAACUACGUGCCAGCAGCCGCGGUAAAU
rnacentral:rRNA from 1 species